UACACGCAGCCGUCUCCCCACUCUCCAGGCCAGCCUACUUGAUCACGAUCAAGAUAACUCCAGCUGCCAUUGAUGGGGCACCACUUUCCACACCCUCUGUGAGGUAGGUCCGGCCCCGCGCAGGCCAGCAAGACCUGACAGGCCACCCUGCCUGCCUGCCGGGGACUCUUCCCAGUCCCCGAAGGCCCACACCCCAACCACAGACCUAGGAAGGGCAGGAGGAAGAAGAUUUAUCUUUGAAGGAACAGGAGUGGC